AUACCUUCUCGGCCGUAAGGCUAAGAUCAAGAAGUAUUUGAAUGUUCUUGUCAGCUUAACAUCUGACCACGGCUUCCGAGCCGGAAUUGGAAUGUUGAUUUUGAACUGGUGUGAUAGAGCGGGCUGUUUCCACUUUCCAGCCUAACUCUCACACUUUU
rnacentral:snRNA from 1 species